UUCUCUCUUUUUUUUUCUCUCCCUCCUUUUGCUGUUUGUUUAAAAAUGGGGACCUCGCAUUGGUUUUCUGGCAUUGGUUGUGAUGGAGUGGUUGGUGGGAUGUGCACCCUGAGCUCUCAGAGAUAGCUGGGGUUCAGGGUGCUGUGGGGUAAACUCCCUUUAAUCCUGGGAAUUGCAUCCCAAGCAGAGUCACUGAUGAGUGUGGAUUUAGUUCAGAUCCAGGCCAAAUCCUGGCCCCAUUGAAGUUAAAUGGGAACUUUAGCUGCUGGUUUUAGGGCUGGGUGUUGAGCACAUCUGCCAUGCCAACCUCAGCAGCCAGUUCCCCAUGGGAUGAAAGAUUUGUGGAGUAGUUAAGAUGUCAGUGGGUGCUCUGGGUGAGCUUUCUCCCUCUACCUCAAGACCAGACCCAACUUGGCUUCCUUUCAGCCCCCAUAAAACCUCACUGAGCAACAACCACUUCUGAUCCUUCAGCUUCUUUUUGAAACCAUCUCAUGUCACAGAAACAGCUUGUCACUGUGUGCAACCAGCAUGAAUGCCAGCUUCCACUGGUGCCUGCUUUGGAUGUGGAAGCAAACGGCUCUGGAACAACUUUCCAUUUUCAGUGGAAAAGCACUGCUGUCAGGGGCAUCACACCAGGGCUGCUUCUGAUCCAUAGUGCCACAGAGCUGGGAAAAACACUUCUAGACAGACUGAGCUGCCUCACUGUGUUUAUAAAAUGGAUAAAAAAAUAUACAUAUCUGAAAACCCAAAAGGAUAAACUCAAAGCCCAGCUUGUAACUGGGAGCAGAUUCCUCACUUUCAAAAAAACAAAAAUAGUGUUUGAAAUUUUGUUUUUAAAGUUCUUGCUUCAGGCUAAGGCUGAUGAAAAAGCAGAGGGACGUGUGACAAUGCUCCAGCCCUGCAGGUGCUGCUGGUCCAAGGUGCCUGGAGCUACGGAAUGCUGCUCAGACCUGCCCUGGAGGCCAUGUUGCCCAAGUCACACAGCCAAGUUGCUUUUCAGGCAGUUUAGACUGUGUUUACGAAGAUUGCAAUGA
rnacentral:lncRNA from 1 species